ACUUGCUUUCUUUGCUGGCGACCGGCGCACGGGUGAGUAACACGUAUCCAACCUGCCCUUUACUCGGGGAUAGCCUUUCGAAAGAAAGAUUAAUACCCGAUAGUAUAAUGAUUCCGCAUGGUUUCAUUAUUAAAGGAUUCCGGUAAAGGAUGGGGAUGCGUUCCAUUAGGUUGUUGGUGAGGUAACGGCCCACCAAGCCUUCGAUGGAUAGGGGUUCUGAGAGGAAGGUCCCCCACAUUGGAACUGAGACACGGUCCAAACUCCUACGGGAGGCAGCAUG
rnacentral:rRNA from 1 species